rnacentral:rRNA from 1 species
GAUCCUGGCUCAGGAUGAACGCUGGCGGCGUGCUUAACACAUGCAAGUCGAACGGGGAUUAUUUCAUUGAAGCUUCGGCAGAUUUGGCUUAAUCCUAGUGGCGGACGGGUGAGUAACGCGUGGGUAACCUGCCUUGUACAGGGGGGAUAACAGUCAGAAAUGACUGCUAAUACCGCAUAAGCGCACAGGACCGCAUGGUCCGGUGUGAAAAACUCCGGUGGUAUAAGAUGGACCCGCGUUGGAUUAG